rnacentral:misc_RNA from 1 species
AAAAAAAAAAAAAAAAAAUUGGGAGAGCUAAAAUUCUCCCACAGGGCAGCCUCAAUCCUUCGGCAUAUUUCACAAUGUUUGGUGAAUGUUGAUCUCUCUUCUCUUCGCUUUCAUGAAAUGAUCUCAACUGGAGGUUCAGUUUGAGGCUCAGGUUCGAGACUUGAAGGAACUUGAUCCAUCACAUCACGACAGCGAGUUAAUUAGAUUUAUGGGCUUUUGUUUCAUGCGUUAUUCUUCUGUUGUUUCUGUGCUCUAAAU